GCAUUUCGAGAGAGAGAUUGAAGGAAGAGGAAGAAGAAGCUUGCUGCAGGUUGGAGGUUGAAGAAGAGAGGAAAAAGUUCAUGCAAGUGCAACCAUGGAAAAAUCUAGGUUCAACCGGCCUAUCUCUGGUUUUUAUGUCGAUUUGAACUACACAAGAAGAACUAAGAGGCCAAGAGGAAAUAGGUCGAGUCUACAGACCAGCGAACUAGCCAAGACUGAUUUUUAGGGAGAAAAGGGCUGAGCAGAGUAUCCCACAUCCUUCCUUCACCUCAUUAUUCAGGAGAGUAUUUUGAUCCCUCAUGCUUUACUUUUGAUCACAUUGGGGACAAUGUGUAUUUUAAAAGUUGGGAGUGAGGUGUUUAGAUUUUUGGGCCAUUUUUCUCAAAUUUUUGUGCUAAAAUUUUUAUUAAUGAUAUUAUUUGGGGUCCUUGAGCGCUAUGCUCGGGCAAUGUUUGCUUGUUAGUUUGUCUUGUUGUUGUGUUCCUUAUGAUGACUAGUCUAUGAUGCACUCAUAGGAAUUGUUUUUGCAUGAGAAUAGGUCGGAUGAAAGGAUUCAUAAUUUUCAUGAUAUUUUGAAAAUUCUGCUUAAAAUUUUUAUUACAUCUCCAAGCCCUUUGCAUAUCUAUCUUGACUCUGUAUGCUUUCUUAGAAUUAAAUUAUGAGACCAUAAGUUUGUUAUCAUUCCAAUAGGCCUUGGUGAUAGAUAUUAUUCUUUUUGCAAUUCAAUUUAGUAAUGCAUGCUUGAGAUGUAGUCAAUUGAUAUCACUGUCGCCUGGUAAGUAGGAUAUAUAUAUUUCAUUUAUGCAUGUUUAGGGGUCUACUCCUCUUCUUCCAAGGGUAUGAUUAACCUGGGGCGGCCAUGACACCCGUGGUUUCCCUCUGAGCUAAAGUAUCCUAGAGGAAUGAGUAAGCUUAGGAACUUUUGAAGGAAAAUUGGCCCGUAGUUAGAUGAUUCGCAUUUCACCCGUGUGGGCAAGCCAAAACGAAAGUCGAUUUCCUGAAUUAAGUUUUCCCUCUUUAUUUUUUGUUGUAAGAAGGCGAUGGUGGAUAGAUUUUGACCGAUCCAUUGUUAUGUCAUUACCACUUUGAAUUUAGGAAAGCUAAUUCAGGAUCCUUCGAACCAAUGUAGAGGGAAAAUAAAUGGAAGAUUCAUAAGGCCAUUUCAGGCUCGCUCUUGUUCAAAAUAAAUAACUUUGAGCUUGAAUAUACAUAAAAUAUUUUUAAACAAAUUUUCAAACCGUUCAUGAAAAUUUGAUUGUGAAUUCGAUUCUAGUUGACUGUUGAGACUUGAGUAGGGAACACUUUAGUUUGACAAACUGAUUAUUAUUUUUGGCAUGAUUGCUGAUAACGGGCAAAAAUUCAUGUUAUCAUAGUGCUAAGUUAAUAAACAAUGUUGGAUUGCGUUGAUGAAAAAAUGAUAAAUUGCACCC